rnacentral:lncRNA from 1 species
CCUACAGAACAGGCCCAUUAGCAGGAUGUUGUGCAAUAUGGUGCUUGUCAUCUGUUUCAAAGACACAGUGAUGAGAUACAGAGAAAAGACAAUAGAGGUUCCCAGACUCAGAAAGGAAUGUCGGCAGAAGGGGAUUUUUUUUUUUUUCAUGAGAUUGGUACAUCAGCAAGAAAAGUUUUCUUCCUGGGGAGAAAUAUAAGCAAACGUCAAGACAAGAGGAGUCAGCGUGACCCGUGCAAUGCUCUCCUUUCCUUGACAUGCUUGAGAAUCAGAUAUCUCACAGUAAUUGCACUUAGCAUGGAUGCCAUGGGGGAGGGAAUAUGGAAAGCCAGAAGGUAA